UGUUUUCCUAUGCUCAAAUGAAAUUAAUCUCCCUAAUGUGACCAACGGCGACAUGUCGAGUUGUAAAAACAAACCCUUAAAACACUUCAACACCCUCAUUUUUUUUUUUUUUGACAUAGCUUUGUGAAGUGGGCUAGCAAUUUCCCAUAUCGUGAUGAGCUGAGCCAAUUCAAAAUUGGCACUGCGUUGCGUGGCGGAGAAGCUGAAUUUGACACAGUGCAACGCUAUUGAGGUUCAGGGCAGACGUGAGGUGAGCGGUGCGAUACAUACGGGUGGGAGGGGGGGGCGGGGCGGAUAAUCUGGUGUUCUAUUUAUGAGGACUGAGCCACUCAUUAUUUUUCCCAAUCCUGUAGGAUUUGUGAAUACAGAAUGGCAAUUUGUUCCCGAUCCCGAUUCACCCAAAUGAAUGCUUGUACAUAUGUUCGCAUCCACGCCUCCGCCGAGGGACGGUGUCCCUUUGAAACGAGAAGCCGCGGAGCUUCCGCAACGGAUUAGGCUGAUAGCCAAUCGGAUUUUGCUCUGGUCCACCUCGCGAACGCAUUUGUGCAAAUGGCUUCAUCUAAUGAUCCAAUUGGACAUGAUUUAAAAAGAACAAAGCUAGCCGUAAACAAACGCUCCCUGCGGCGCUCGCCAGCCCGCGGGGGACCCACCACAUCGUCGCAGUUACGUGUUCACUCACCCAAUGACCGUUGCUGAUGUUUGAUUAUCCUCAAAAGACCGAGCAGGCACGCGGAGUCGGGUAAUCUUACCCGGAUCCCAAACAUGGGCCAUGAAAAAAGCAUGACUCACAGACGUACGUAUUAUUACUGGAUUAAAAAAAAAAAAGAAUGAAUUUAAAAAAAAAAGAGAAAAACGGUGGUCUGAGCACAUAAUCCUCCCUGAUGCAACACGCGGAGGACAAAUUUGUUCUUAUGAACGUUUAUUUGAUGACCUCGUUUGCUGGUGUUCUCGUUACUUUUAAUGCAUCGACGGUGUAAAACAGGCCUCAAAUAUUUCACUUUGACGUCAUGCUUAUUUUUGAUGAAACAUAUUGAGACACGGGUGGCACGGUGGAAGGGUGAAGGGUUCGGUGUCGAUGUUCCUCCCCGCUCGCCUGUGUGGGUUUUCUGCGGGUACUCUAGUUUCCUCCCGCAUUCCAAAAACAUGCGCUGCAGAUUAAGCGAACGUUCUAAAUUGUCCUUUGGUGUGAUUGUGAAAGCGAAAGCUAGAAACUGGUUCAGGGUGGGGGGUACACACUGGUCUGCGUGGGUUUUCUCCGGGUACUCCGGUUUCCUCCCGCAUUCCAAAAACAUGCACGACAGGCUUAUUGGACACUCUAAAUUGUCCCUAGGUGUGAGUGUGAGUGCGGAUGGUUGUUUGUGUCUGUGUGCCGGUUCAGGGUGUCCCCCGCCUACUGCCCGAAGACAGCUGGGAUAGGCUCCGGCAGGCCAUGGCCCAGUACUGGUGGUUUGGGGACCGCUGCUUUAUAAGAAAGUUGAAUUUGCAAGAUCUUUGGAGGGAAUUCCUGCCAUAUCCUGUUUAUGCUACGCUUCCUGUGUGCCUCGGUGCUGUCAAAAUAUUUCCACGCGCAACCCUGCCACCGCUUCAUCAAAGCAAUUAUGAAAGCGUGAUGAUUCAACCAAUGCUGCUUCAGUAUUCCUAUUGGAGGGAUCAACCUCGCUCAAGCCCAUCCCACCCGUGAUGCCAGAUGUUCCCGGGGAAGUUGGAUCGCUAUCCGGUAUUAGUUCGUUUGAUAUGCUGAGUAGAGGCGACAUAUUUGAAGAAUCUCUU